rnacentral:rRNA from 1 species
GUGCCAGCCGCCGCGGUAAUACGUAGGGUGCGAGCGUUGUCCGGAAUUACUGGGCGUAAAGAGCUCGUAGGUGGUUUGUCGCGUCGUCUGUGAAAUUCCGGGGCUUAACUCCGGGCGUGCAGGCGAUACGGGCAUAACUUGAGUGCUGUAGGGGAGACUGGAAUUCCUGGUGUAGCGGUGAAAUGCGCAGAUAUCAGGAGGAACACCGAUGGCGAAGGCAGGUCUCUGGGCAGUAACUGACGCUGAGGAGCGAAAGCAUGGGUAGCGAACAGGAUUAGAUACCCUGGUAGUCCAUGCCGUAAACGGUGGGCGCUAGGUGUGGGGUCUUCCAGACUUCUGUGCCGUAGCUAACGCAUUAAGCGCCCCGCCUGGGGAGUACGGCCGCAAGGCUAAAACUCAAAGGAAUUGACGGGGCCCGCACAAGCGGCGGAGCAUGUGGAUUAAUUCGAUGCAACGCGAAGACCUUACUGGCUUGACAUACG